CUAUGGCAUCGCUUGAAGAACCUUUUGAAGCACCUUUAUUUUUAAGAGUGUAGCUUCCCGGAGAGAGAUCUUCAUGUGUUUUGCCCACAACAAAACUUGUGUUGUAUGUUGGUCUGGAGCAUGUGGAACCUUCAUAAAGAUGAUUAAGAGCAGGAAUGCUCUUAAAAGCUUUCGUAUGGAGAUAAAGGAAACAACCAGAACCACCUCCAGACUGCAUACAACACUUUAAGGCAAACCCAUCUCUCUUCAUUAAAUCUUUUUCUGGCGGUUCGAGUGCCAGAGCGGACUCAGUGGAACAGUAC